CUCAACUUUCCGAACCCUGUUAAUUUUCCCCACACGACGACAAAUGCGUUAUUACAAAUCGACGAUUAUUAUUUCGACGACGGUCGGGAUGAUCAAUCCUCGAAACGGAUUCAUCAACGGAUUUCCAUCCCGUCCCCGUCCGGUUUAUCUUAUCCCCGUAACUGGUUGGAGAAGGGGGGGACGAGGAGCGGAACGCGCGGCGGAAAUAUACGAAGUUUGACGUUCGCUAAUGGCUCGGCUGAAACGAAGUCCCAUCGCUCUCGAUAACGCCUCGCGCCUCGCGUAUCAUACCUAGUCUCGAAGAAUCUGUCGAGAUACCUCGACGCAAGUGUUAAGCAAGAGCGCGGUGGAAACCACGACGUUGGAGGAGCUGCUUGGGCCCUGUACACCCGGAAGCUGUACGUGAGGAACGACUGCUGAUUUCGUAGACGGGAUUCAAUUAGCAGAGCACGCGGUUGCCUUGCGGGGAACCGAUGGUCGUUCGAGGCAAAAUUUUUCGAAAUUAAUUCGUUCAGAGGGAGAGAGAAAGAGUGUGUGUGUAUGUAUGUAUGUGUGUGUGUUUGUGCGUUAUUCAAGAGGAUCGAGGGUUAUGGCGAAAUUUUACGUAUGUAAGAAAGUUUACUUGAUUCUUCUUUAAUUUUAACCUCGACACAAUAAUUAUUGUAAUCUCGGGUUUCAAAUUAAUUUGAAGAAUUCCUUUGAUACAUCGCCUAUCGAGAUACGUUUAGACCAGUAUAAUUAAAUUACGCGUAAUUUGAACGUAGGACAUUUUGUUAUAUCGAAAGUUUAAUCUCGUUUCGUGAAAGUUUAGUUGAUUCUUCUUAAGUUUUAACCUCGAGACAACAAUUAUUGCAAUCUCGGGUUUCAAAUUAAUUUUAAAAACUCCUUUGAUAUAUCGUCUAUCGAGGAACCACGUUUAGACGACCAGUAUAAUUAAAUUACGCGUAAUUUGAACGUAGGAUAUUUUGUUAUAUGGAAAGUUUAACCUCGUUCCGUGUUCGCGGAAAUUUUACCUCGAACGUAAACAACAAUCUGUUCGUCUAAUCGCGUAAAAACGCGAUGACUCAUUUCGCUCGCUCAUCUGUUCAGAUAAUAACAUCUCGAAAGAACGUGUUUAUAAACGAGUCGGAGGAGAGGUUCGAGGAGGUUGAUCAUUUCGAACGAAGCGUUUCUUUCUUCCGAGAUUCCAAGAGGGGGGGAAGAAGAACGACAAGCAAAGAUAUCCGAUUUCAAAGAAAGGGAGGGGUGCUCUCGCGUUGUUUAAUCCGGCGGCACGAAAAUUAACAAGCGGAUGAAAGGGCUCGGGCGAGAAUUGAAUCGAUAUCACACGGCGGAUUGCGCCGAGCGAGCGAGCGAGCGAAGCGGCUAAACGACUGUCAAAGGCUUGCUUUUGCGAACAGAUUGCACGUAACGUAUUUUAUCAAAGAGUUUGCAUCACCUUUUGUCUCCAUUUGCAGCCGACGCCCGAAAAUAUUCACUACCUACUUUGCAUUCAAUAUCGCCGCUGAUAAUGCGAAGGUGCGCGUCUCCCUCGUCGACAUUAAUCAAUAUUCACCACGUUUUUCCGUUUUUGCUUCUCCUCCUUCGUUUUUCUCUUUCUCUUCCUUUUCCUUUUUUUUUUUUUUUUGCCUUCCCCCUCCUCUCUCCCGUUCUCUUCCGGCGUCGUUUUAAUGGACCCCGGAGCUGCAGCUCCCAGGUAAAUUAUUCACGCUAUUCUUAAACGUUGUUUCCUUUCCCCUCCCCCCUCCCCUCGAACGUUAUUAAGCUUCCCCGUGUGUACUCGCGAUUCUUAACUUCGUUCCUAAGACUCUGCCCACAACCGACCUCCUCUUCCUCCGUUUAAGAUUCAAAUUGCGAAUAUAUAAAGACCGUCUUCUUUAUCCACCUACCUGUGAUUACGGCCGAUAUUUAACGUUCUUGGCCUAAAUAAACGUCGAAAUCAAAUACGUACGUUUAGAAAUUCCACAAAUCAAAUACGUGCUUUUAGAAAUUCCAGAAAUCAAAUACGUGCGUUUAGAAAUUCCACAAAUCAAAUACGUGCGUUUAGAAAUUCCAGAAAUCAAAUACGUGCGUUUAGAAAUUCCAGAAAUCAAAUACGUGCGUUUAGAAAUUCCAGAAAUCAAAUACGUGCGUUUAGAAAUUCCCGAAAUCAAAUACGUGCGUUUAGAAAUUCCAGAAAUCAAAUACGUGCGUUUAGAAAUUCCAGAAAUCAAAUACGUGCGUUUAGAAAUUCCAGAAAUCAAAUACGUGCGUUUAGAAAUUCCAGAAAUCAAAUACGUGCGUUUAGAAAUUCCAGAAAUCAAAUACGUGCGUUUAGAAAUUCCAGAAAUCAAAUACGUGCGUUUAGAAAUUCCAGAAAUCAAAUACGUGCGUUUAGAAAUUCCCGAAAUCAAAUACGUGCGUUUAGAAAUUCCAGUAUAUGCGAAUAUAUCAAAGGAUCUAUUCAAGGGAUUCUCUCGAUUCUAAGAAAAAUUGUUGCGCUAGUUUUUCAUUAAUCGUAUCGUAUUAUAAUUAAAAAGGAAAAAGGGGGAGGGGGAAAGAUUCUCUGAGGAAGAACGUUUAUUAAUAACGUUUUAUUAAGAUUGCAGGAAAAACUUUGCAGAUUCAGGAAAUUGAUGGGAUAAUUAUCAUCACCGUCGAUCCGACAUAUGUCGGAGGAUUCUCUCCUUAACAAUCCCCUCUCGAAAAAUUAACUCCUCCCGGCCAAACUUUGUCCCUUGGAACGGAAACAUAGCGCAAUAGUUGAGAAAUUUGCCGGCCUCUCGUGUUACACCCUCGUAUUCCCCCUGUAAUCUCGGGCUUCCGGGGGCCGGGUAAAUGAAGGAAACUUUCUCAAUUAAAACCGCGUGUCCGCCGGUGUCGAUUCCCUUCUGCCGGCUAAUUAAAAGGAAAACAAAAAUCUUCCGGCCAUUCGAUCGCCUCGUAUUGUUUCGGCUUCCACCCCUGCCACUCCCUCCCACCCCGGCUGAAAACUUCCGGGGACGGAUCUCGAAUUAAUCUCGACGAAGCGACUCCCUGGCUUCCUCCCCUUUUUUUCUCCUCCCUCGUCUUUCUUUUUCCUCUUCUCUUUUCUUCCUCUUUUCUUUCUCUCUCUCUCUCUCUCGUCCAUCGGUAUCCAAGAAGAAGAAGAAGAAGAAGAAGAAGAAGUUUGGACGAGCAUCGAGUUGCGAGAAGGGAGGUCGGUUUCGGGAGAAUAAAGAUCCGCGUGAAGGGUGGAUCGUCGCGCGAAGAGGCAGGCCACUACAACUUUAACCAGCAGUUGUGGAGAAAAAGAAUCGAGGACGUCGUAGCUAUUGUCGGUUAUCGCGACGAGAGAGAGGGACGGAUGAGAGAAACGAGAGGGAAGGGGAAACGGUGUGCAAACGGCGGGAGAUCGGUUUGUGAACUCUCUUCGACAACGUAGCUCCUCCAAAGCUACGUGUGUUCCUCUGUCGCCACGGGGAAAGGGACGUUGAAUUCAUCGGUGUUCGUGGAGUUUUCGAGAAAGCUACCCCUUCCAGUAUAAGGUGAAUAACGUAACCUUUAAAUAGAAUUCUAGAAGUUGUGUAUGUAGAUUCUUCUUCAGAGAAUGGGUACAAUUUCAAUCCUUACUAACGUUAUUUUACACUCUUUCUCUUGAAUUAAUGUAAUCAGAGAGCAAGUAAAUACAGUUAAAUGUAUAUCUGUAUGAAGAACUGAACUAAACGUGUUGCGAGAGAUCUUUUCAAGAUAUUUAAAAAAAAAAAUUACGACUAACGUAUCGUUCGUACAAAUAUAUUAAUUUUAAUCGACAAAAUUCGUGGCCAAAAAAUUUCCGAUUAUAAUAAAUUCAACAACUGUAUUCACCUGUUUAUCAUAUAUCCACAGCGCGGUAAACGAAAGCAAAUAUUGAUGCUUCCGUUAUCUCCUAUCAUAUUUCACACGACAGAUUCGAUGCUCGACCGUCCGUCAUGCGUAACGGUGCCAGGCAACAAUAAAAAAGAAAGAAGAGAAAAAAAAAGAGGAGCGAGGGACGAAAAAAAAGAACACAUCUCGAUGAUCGAAACCAUUUUGCGUUUCGAAAUCAGUUCAAUUUCGAACGUGUUUUACGAGCGUGGCCUCGCGUAAGAUCAAUUGAAAAAAGCUACAGAUUAACGGGGUCAGCCUUGAUACAGAUGGAGGAGGAAGGGAAAUCCGUUUUCAUCGUCAACGCUGUCAAUGAAAUAGACUUGUUCGAUUGAUCCUUUUCCCUCCACUUGCAAAAUGGACCCAAAUCUCUAUUGAUAACUUGGAGAAUCGAGACGAUAAUUGGCCGUGUUUAUUCUUUAUUCCCUCUAUUUCGAUCCGAAUUCAUUAUUUAAGGAGAGGAAUUAAGUGUCAAACGUCAGUUAUUUUAUCGGGUAGAUGUCGCGAUAAUUUAUUUGUAGCCGAGUUUCGCGACGAUAAUCGGUACUAGUAGCAUGAUUUAUCGGUUAAUUAUAGCGAGGAAGAAAUUUCGUUUCGAGAAAUUGGAUUAAUUUAGACGAGACGGAUUAUAGAGAGUUUCUUUAUCUCUCAAUUGUUCCGAUGAAUCAUAUUAUACAUAUAUAUAUAUAGCAGCACGAAAUAAGCGAAAUUCCAAUAUAAUUCCGAAAUAAGAUUGUAUCGAUUAUUUUGCGACGAUUUUUACAUUUUUAAUUUCUGAAAAAUGAACGAAUUCAAACGUUACUUUGCUAAAUUAUUCGGAAAUUUCAAUCUACCGCUCCACCGUUUCCGAAAACUUUUUAAACUCAAUUUAUUUCGCCAUUUAUCGAAAUUGGCAAAAUAUACAAAAUAAACCCGAUCUAAAUUUUCAAGUAUCUCGAUUAAAUCUAAUUGGAGGUAUUGCUCAAUGUCUAAACUACCCCAGUGAAAAACCGGUUAUAAGUGAUCGGCCCCUCCUCAUCGGGAAAACGGAUUUCGGUCCGAAUCCGAAAGACUCGUCUAUCUUAUGCAAAGUAUCGGCCUCUCCCGAAUUCAAUGACGCAAUAACGGCGGUUAAAGGAAUCGGCGCGCCCUCCGUCUGGCCGUUGGUCCACUUAGCAAGUUAUUAAAGGGAGAAAAGCCGGCCGUCAGAGUUUCCGAUCCGGUCGAUCGGGUCGAAAUUCGGAUCCUCCCCCACUGAUUUAUAUUCGCGGGAACGAAAGUAUGCGAAAGGAUCUCUCUCUCUCUCUUCCUUCGCUGUCGAUCGAUCGAAAGGCGAGAACGAUGGUUAAGUGCUUCCGGGGAAACUUUCCUUGAGAUGCAAAUCGCAAUGCGCCCCGCCACUCAAGAAGACACGGCCGGCCAAGUUAAAUUGCCGACCCAGAGAGAGGGGAGGGGGAGAGAGAUAGAUAGAGAGGGAGAGAGAGAGAUUUCGAUUGAAACCGUCGUCUAAUGAACUGUAAUUGUCGCGGGCCCGGAAAUCAAUGACCGGAUUGCCAAUCACUCGGGACGGGGUUGCUGCUGCACAGCAUCGAUUCCUUCUUCGGUGUGGUAAUGCACUCUUCUCUCCCUUUUAAAUACUGAUCCCGCUCUCUAUUAUCGCUUUCUGUUCCUCGACAACGAACAACUUAAUCAUCUUCUAUUCUAUCGUAUUCCUUGUUAUUUGAUGCUGGAUACGCGUAAUAGCGUGUACACAGUUCCGAGUUCCUUUAAUUUAUCGUGAUUAAGCUUUGCUACGAUUAACCUUUGCUAUAUAUAUUGUUCACGGUAAUUAACACUCGACACAAUGCUCUCUCCCUCCCUGAACACGUGAAUUGAAUAAGUGUGCAACGAAAUUGAGCGUAUUUAAUUAGGUUCCUGGAUUUAAAGAUAUAAAUUAAUCCACACUUUGCAUCCAUAAACAAUUGUUUAAUUUUUACACGAAUCUUGAUCUUUUUAUUCAGAGGAAUAGAUCGUGAAUUGAUUUGAAAAUAUAUAUGAUUGUACAUUUAAUAAAGAAAAUAAGGAAUAAGCUUUUAUUCGCAAAAUUUAAAACUUAAUAUUCAAAAUUAUUAAAUUAAUAAUCCGACGAAAGUUUUUAAAUUUAGAUUUAGACUGAACUUAUUUAAUAAAAAAAAUCGUAGAUAGUGUGGCCAACGAACACGAACUUAUUAAUUUCCAUAUUGCGAAAGAUCAAUAUCUACAAUCAUAUAUUUUUCACAUCUUUCUCGAAAAAUCGAAUAUGACGAAUGUUUUCAACCUUGACUCAUCCUCGCGAAAUACGUGCGUAAAUAAUGUAAAUUGGGGAGGGGGAAAUAAAACAAUUAUGAAA